rnacentral:rRNA from 1 species
GGGGAAUAUUGGACAAUGGGCGAAAGCCUGAUCCAGCCAUGCCGCGUGUGUGAAGAAGGCCUUUUGGUUGUAAAGCACUUUAAGUGGGGAGGAAAAGCUUGUGGUUAAUACCCAUAUGCCCUGACGUUACCCACAGAAUAAGCACCGGCUAACUCUGUGCCAGCAGCCGCGGUAAUACAGAGGGUGCAAGCGUUAAUCGGAAUUACUGGGCGUAAAGCGAGCGUAGGUGGCUGUUUAAGUCAGAUGUGAAAGCCCCGGGCUUAACCUGGGAACUGCAUCUGAUACUGGACGGCUAGAGUAGGUGAGAGGGGAGUAGAAUUCCAGGUGUAGCGGUGAAAUGCGUAGAGAUCUGGAGGAAUACCGAUGGCGAAGGCAGCUCCCUGGCAUCAUACUGACACUGAGGUUCGAAAGCGUGGGUAGCAAAC